rnacentral:rRNA from 1 species
CGAUGAACCACUUCGGUGGGGAUUAGUGGCGAACGGGUGAGUAACACGUGGGCAAUCUGCCCUGCACUCUGGGACAAGCCCUGGAAACGGGGUCUAAUACCGGAUAUGACCAUCUUGGGCAUCCUUGAUGGUGUAAAGCUCCGGCGGUGCAGGAUGAGCCCGCGGCCUAUCAGCUUGUUGGUGAGGUAAUGGCUCACCAAGGCGACGACGGGUAGCCGGCCUGAGAGGGCGACCGGCCACACUGGGACUGAGACACGGCCCAGACUCCUACGGGAGGCAGCAGUGGGGAAUAUUGCACAAUGGGCGCAAGCCUGAUGCAGCGACGCCGCGUGAGGGAUGACGGCCUUCGGGUUGUAAACCUCUUUCAGCAGGGAAGAAGCGAAAGUGACGGUACCUGCAGAAGAAGCGCCGGCUAACUACGUGCCAGCAGCCGCGGUAAUACGUAGGGCGCGAGCGUUGUCCGGAAUUAUUGGGCGUAAAGAGCUCGUAGGCGGCUUGUCGCGUCGGUUGUGAAAGCCCGGGGCUUAACCCCGGGUCUGCAGUCGAUACGGGCAGGCUAGAGUUCGGUAGGGGAGAUCGGAAUUCCUGGUGUAGCGGUGAAAUGCGCAGAUAUCAGGAGGAACACCGGUGGCGAAGGCGGAUCUCUGGGCCGAUACUGACGCUGAGGAGCGAAAGCGUGGGGAGCGAACAGGAUUAGAUACCCUGGUAGUCCACGCCGUAAACGGUGGGCACUAGGUGUGGGCAACAUUCCACGUUGUCCGUGCCGCAGCUAACGCAUUAAGUGCCCCGCC